UAUGAAUGAUGACAUUUUUCUUACCUGAAUAUCUGUGGAGGGAAAAAUGAUUUAAUGAGUCUGACAA